UACGGAGGGUGCAAGCGUUAUCCGGAUUCACUGGGUUUAAAGGGUGCGUAGGAGGGCAGGUAAGUCAGUGGUGAAAUCUCCAAGCUUAACUUGGAACUGCCGUUGAUACUAUCUGUCUUGAAUACCGUGGAGGUGAGCGGAAUAUGUCAUGUAGCGGUGAAAUGCUUAGAUAUGACAUAGAACACCAAUUGCGAAGGCAGCUCGCUACACGAAUAUUGACUCUGAGGCACGAAAAGUCG
rnacentral:rRNA from 1 species